rnacentral:lncRNA from 1 species
GAGCGAUGUUCUCUCCUACCUUUCCAGCACCUCCAAGGCCCCAGAAUUGGGACCUAUGGCCACCCUUAUCUGCAAAGGAAUUUGAAAAGCUUUGCUCUGGUGUAAUUGAAGAAACAGCCACUUCUUCCUGUCAUUACAGACUGGCCUUGACAAGGAAAGAUCUUCACCCAUCAGCCUGGCUGGAGAUUCUGGGAGCAUCUCAAACCUUUCCUAUGGAAGCAUCUUCUCUGGACUUGCGCAUUGGGAGACUGGAGCUGAAGCAGCUUUCUUGGAUCAUAAAUGACCCUGAAAAUGGAGACCACACAAGAUGAAACAAGACAGAAGAAGUCAGUAUCACUGACACGGUGGCACCGCAUACCAGCAUUAAAUUAUUUCCUCCAGACAAAUGAAAGAAAUAAAAUUAUCUCCUUUUUAA